rnacentral:rRNA from 1 species
UACAGAGGUGGCAAGCGUUGUUCGGAAUUACUGGGCGUAAAGGGCGCGUAGGCGGUCUUUUAAGUUCCGUGUGAAAUCCCUCGGCUUAACUGGGGAACGGCACGGGAAACUGGAAGGCUUGAGUUCGGGAGAGGGAAGCGGAAUUCCGGGUGUAGCGGUGAAAUGCGUAGAUAUCGGGAGGAACACCAGUGGCGAAGGCGACUACCUGGCCCAUUCUUGACGCUGAGGCGCGAAAGCUAGGGGAGCGAACGGG